rnacentral:rRNA from 1 species
UACGGGAGGCAGCAGGGAGGAAUUCUGCGCAAUGGGCGAAAGCCUGACGCAGCGACGCCGCGUGGAGGAUGACGGCCUUCGGGUUGUAAACUCCUGUCAGAGGUGAAGAAAACCCCCUUCGGGGGGCUUGACGGUAACCUCAGAGGAAGCCCCGGCUAACUACGUGCCAGCAGCCGCGGUAAU